ACUCGGGCACGAUCCGGGCCCGGUGCGAUCCCAUGAUGCACGCCGCUCAACGCGUCGUAAAGCAAGGGGCCGCAACCCAUGACGCCCGGAAGCGACCCGUAGUUCAAUCCUGAGGGA
rfam:Corynebacterium xerosis strain ATCC 373 Contig_15, whole genome shotgun sequence.